AAGACUAUAGGUUAAAAAGACCACUGGCCUUCAAAGCCGGAAGUGAAUCUCUUCUCUGGUCUUG
rnacentral:tRNA from 1 species